UUGUAUGCAUUUGUAUCUGUACGAAAAAUACGUAUUCGCAGCGUUUGAAGUUCAAUGUCCCUCGCCAAGGUUAAUAAAACGCUCCUAAAAACGAAAUAUGUAUGUAUCUGUAUCUGUAUCUGUUCGAGUAUACUUGUGUAUAUUCACAUUCGAUUAUUAAGAUACACAGACAAGUGCACGAAUGUACUCGCAUGCAUUCAAUUAAUAAGCAAUUCCGCCGCUGCUUCCUGGUUAUGCUUUUGUGCACUUAAUCCUUUAAAUCAUCAGACAGAUCGAACGAAAUCACAAACAGAACAGUGUCGUGUCUGGGGAACACAGGAACGCAGGAACGCAGGAACGCAGGAACUCGACAACCAUUUGGAAUAGGUCAUCGCUGUGACGCGCCGCCCUCAACGUAUGGCCGGCCAACGCCAGAGGAGAGAACAUGGCCAAUCAGUUCGUGUACCUCGUAAAGUUCAUCCACACGAUACCCUUGGCAGUAACGACGCCUGAGCAGGGAGCAGCAAGCAGUCAGCGGUGAGCAGUGAGCAGUGAGCAGACUUUCCGCCGAAACGAGUGAUGGAAGCCGAAGAGAGCUGGGCACCGACGGUGGGCUGGAUGUGAUGCGAUGCUCCAACGGCCAUUGCCAUCGCCGUGGCUGUUGCUUUUGCUUUUGGUGUUGCUGUUGUUGUUGCUGUUGCCUUUGCCCUCGCCACAAGUCUGCUCCAAUACUCACUCUCAAUGUCGCGUCAGACAGUUCAAGUCUAAUAAGCAGCCGACUCUCGUAGAUCUACACACACACACGCACACCACAUAACACAGACAGUGCACACAGAUACACGCAAACAUAAACAGAAGUUGACUGUGCAGACACCCGCAUCCGUAAGAUACUCGUACAUUUGUACGUAUGUAUGCGUACACUCGAAUAAGUAAAAGUGAUGAAAUGGGGCUGGGAGGGCUGUUCGUUGGCUUUCGAUUUUAACUGUUCUUCGCUCGGGCGGCUGUGGGCGGAGGGCCACUCCUGCUGCACGCUUAGAGCCAAAGGUCAUCCAGUCCAAAUACUCACACACUUACAGGCCACAUUAAAUGCAUAUACAAUAUUUUUGCAAUAAAGAUACAAAUGUACUAUAAACAGAA